AAGUCGUAACAAGGUUUCCGUAGGUGAACCUGCGGAAGGAUCAUUACAAAAAUAACAAAACGCCGGGACGUUGACGCACGCGCGCCCGCCCGCCAGGGAAAGCACGGGGUCCGGAAGUGAUCCGGCCGCAUGAUUUACUGGCAGGCAGGUCCGGGUGCGAUCCGGGCCCGGCGUUUGACCGACAGCCCUCUGUGAAAACCCCUUGUUGCUUCGGCAGCUCCUCCCUACCUGUGGGAAGCGGUCAGCCUGCCGGUGGCACUCAGGAAACCCCAUUCUUAGAAACCAGUACGCUUCGUCUGAAAGGUGCAGUCGAAUGACUAUAAAACUUUCAACAACGGAUCUCUUGGUUCCC
rnacentral:misc_RNA from 1 species